CUCAUGUUUAAAUAAAAUUAUUACCAUUUUUAUAAAAUUACUGAUAAACAAACCUUACCUACCUUUUGAGUCAACAAUGGCAACUCUAUUCUUUUUGUCAUUUCUCCCCCAACUAGAACAUGUUCAUUUUUUAUAAAGCAGCUGCCCCCAUCGGUUACUUUAGUGCGAGAAAACGAUCAGGCAUUCUGGUUCACUUUCUCCUUUCUUGAUAGAUUCAUCCACUUGCAAGGAGUACCCCUCGAAAAAUAAUCCGUCUGCAGGUACUUGAUCGCCGAUCUUCAAGCAAACUAUGUAUCGAACAACAGUGUCCAAUAUCGAUAUAUUGUUGCCUCCAACAAAUAUGGAUAUCUGACAUUGUUGUUGGAGAUGUGGUUUGCUUGAAGAUUGGCAAUCAAGUAGUUGCAGACGGAUUACUUUUAGACGGGCAUUCGUUGCAAGAGGAUGAAUCUAGCAUGAUAAGAUGAAAGCCAUCAUGUUGAAAUCAGUCGAUCUCAAAACCAGUCUUGUUUUCAGUUGAGAAAACGCCGCCUCUUCAAAAUCGAUCAAAGUAGCCAACUUUAUCUGCAGAAAAGGUUGGUUUAGAGGUAGCAUUCCUAGUCGUUGCUGUGUCCAUACUUAUGGGGAACACGACGGAUGAAGAUGUAUGGGAAUAAAGAGUUCAAAUUCAAUGGAAUGUUGAUGAUUUGAUUUUGAUGUACUUGGAAUUAUUACUGCUGCAGUAACUAUUGUAGUUCUUACAAUCCCACAAGGGUUGACUUCGGUAAUCAACUACUCUUGCUUAUUCUAUGAGCCUAUAGUUCUCUUCUCUUUCAACGCUAACUUUUCUAGUGUGUCAUCUAGUGGACUUAGAGCUAGUUCGAAAGAGACCAAAAGAGCUCGUCCAGAACUUGUUUGUGGGUUGGAACUUGGACGAAGCCAGUUAUCAAGUGUGGUUGCAUCUUGGCUUCUGGGUUGGUAUAAGUACAAGAAAGACCAAGUUAUUGUUACAGAGAUUCAAGAUCAUAUGUUCCUAUAUGGAUCAAUUAACAAUGUUACUGCUUUUGAUCUGUAGUUUCGAAGUAUCAAUAGAAUGGAUCCGUUUCUUGAUUUUUCUUGUUCUUUAUUUGAGCAUUACAUAUUCUUUAUUUAAGUUUUGAUUAAUAUUAAUUUUUUAUUGUCUGAAAAUGAUAUCUCCUAUCCGUGCGCGAUUCUCCACAUGGGGAUUACAAAAAGGUUGUGAAGGAAAUUGUUA
rnacentral:lncRNA from 1 species